AUUGACGGACUGAAGGCUCUUUCUCGAUUCCGUGGAAAGUGGUGCAUGGCCGUUUUUGGUUGGUGGAUCGAUCCGUCUGGUUAAUUCCGUUAACGAACGAGACCUCGGCACUCCGAAUAGCGCGGCGGACGUCGCGGCCUCCGGGCCGUCUUCCGCACGAGCUUCUUAGAGGGACCGUCCCCCGCCGGGGAAGGAGGUGCGAGGCAACGACAGGUCUGUGAUGCCCUUAGAUGUUCUGGGCCGCACGCGCAUUACACUGACGCGUCCAACGGGUGACUCCCGACCCGAAGGGGCCGGGGAAUCCGCAAGGCGCGUCGUGAUGGGGAUUGAACGUUGCAAUUGUUGUUCACGAACGAGGAAUUCCUAGUAGGCGCGGGUCAUCAACCCGCGCCGAUUACGUCCCUGCCC
rnacentral:rRNA from 1 species